UUCCGGUUCCGGUUGAUCCUGCCGGAGGCCAUUGCUAUCGGAGUCCGAUUUAGCCAUGCUAGUCGUGCGAGUUCAUACUCGCGGCACCGAGCUCAGUAACACGUGGUCAAACUACCCUACAGAGACGGAUACCCUCGGGAAACUGAGGUUAACCCGUCAUAUCGAUCUCAGGCUUGAAUCGCAGAGAUCACCAAACGCCCCGGCGCUGUAGGAUGUGGCUGCGGUUGAUUAGGUUGACGGUGGGGUAACGGCCCACCGUGCCCAUAAUCAGUACAGGUUGUGAGAGCAAGAACCUGGAGACGGAAUCUGAGACAAGAUUCCGGGCCCUACGGGGCGCAGCAGGCGCGAAACCUUUACACUGCACGCACGUGCGAUAAGGGGACUCCGAGUGCGAGGGCAUAUCGUCCUCGCUUUCGUGUACCGUAGGGUGGUACACCAACAAGGGCUGGGCAAGACCGGUGCCAGCCGCCGCGGUAAUACCGGCAGCCCGAGUGAUGACCGAUCUUAUUGGGCCUAAAGCGUCCGUAGCUGGCUACGCAAGUCCGUCGGGAAAUCCACUCGCCCAACGAGUGGGCGUCCGACGGAAACUGCACAGCUUGGGACCGGAAGGCUCGAAGGGUACGUUCGGGGUAGGAGUGAAAUCCCAUAAUCCCGCACGGACCACCGAUGGCGAAAGCACUUCGAGAAAACGGAUCCGACAGUGAGGGACGAAAGCCAGGGUCUCCAACCGGAUUAGAUACCCGGGUAGUCCUGGCCGUAAACAAUGUUCGCUAGGUAUGACACAGACUACGCGUCUCUGUUGUGCCGUAGGGAAGCCGAGAAGCGAACCGCCUGGGAAGGACGUCUGCAAGGAUGAAACUUAAAGGAAUUGGCGGGGGAGCACUACAACCGGAGGAGCCUGCGGUUUAAUUGGACUCAACGCCGGA
rnacentral:rRNA from 1 species